rnacentral:rRNA from 1 species
UACGUAGGGGGCAAGCGUUGUCCGGAUUUAUUGGGCGUAAAGAGCGUGUAGGCGGCUUUACAGGUCCGUUGUGAAAACUCGAGGCUCAACCUCGAGACGCCGGUGGAAACCGUAAGGCUAGAGUCCGGAAGAGGAGAGUGGAAUUCCUGGUGUAGCGGUGAAAUGCGCAGAUAUCAGGAGGAACACCCGUGGCGAAAGCGGCUCUCUGGGACGGUACUGACGCUGAGGCGCGAAAGCGUGGGGAGCGAACAGG